rnacentral:misc_RNA from 1 species
UUUUGUUUCAAUGCUUCGAUUGCAUUGAACGCACGUCGGGUUUCUUGUGUUGCCUGCCUAAUUGAUGGGAUCCCGUGACCAAUCGAUUUAUUUUCAUCUUUUGUCGCACAUGCGAUGCGAGAUGAACCUUAAAGCAGCCUUUGCGAUCCACUCUUUUUAUGCACGCGCAUUUAUUUUGUGGCUCGCUGAGUGUUUGCUUGGUCUCACGGAUAUGGAACCUUGUGUGGGCAUGUGAUCUUUUACUAGAUCAUUGUUUGCCCAAACUAAUGCUUCUUCAAAUACGAUUUCUUAUCAUGUUCUA